UCAGGCGGCGGCGGCCCGGGGCGGAGCCGGGCCGGGGCGGGGCGACUGCGGGGGCGGGGCGACCCGCGAAGCCCUGGCGCGCGCGGGCCCGACGCGGGGCGGCGCUGGAGGGGCGGCGCGGGCCCCGAGCCGGGAAGCGGUCGCCGGAGGGCCGCCCUGGCGUGGCGAGACCUGGGGUGCGACAGUUCCCGCCUUGAUGGCAGGGCGGAGACCGGUUCCCUAGUCUCAAAGGGGGCGGGGAGGAUGAGAAGUGGCGAUGGGGCGGGCGCGCAGGACCCGAGCCCGGUGAGCCGGCGAUGCGCCUGGGGGUGAAAAGGAGGAGCCGGAAGACUUUUGUCCUACCCUUCCGAAAGACCUGGAGAAGGCAAACUUGGACAGCGGUUAUGACACCAGCUCUCCAAACAACUGCGACCUAAGUGAUCCCCCAGAGCGAGGUUUGCUGAAAGGUGGAGGAACCCAAGGCACACACCUCUGUGUGUGCCAAAUGGUGUGACCGACCAAAAUGUAAAUUUACAGUUCGAGCCUGUCUUACCGAUUGAAGAUGGUUUGGGUUGAGACUUACAAUCACAUAAUGGAAUAUGAAAGAAUAAGUUUAAUAUUCAGACAUUUGUGUUUAGAAAGCCUGCAGGAUAAAGGAGAAUAAAGUGUUAGACCCAGAAUCCAGGAAAUGCCAGCACAAAGCCUGUAUGUGUUGAGAUAAACUGGACCCAGUCAUUCUCCUACCAUGCAGCGGACAGAUCUCGCUUUACUUCUGGGUUCUCUUUUGGAAAUGGUUACUUAGCAACUCAGAAAUGCCUGUUAUGUGAUAGAAGCCCUCUUCUGUCUACAUGAUACAUGAUAUUAUUGUUGGGAGCCUCCAAGACAUUGGAUGAGCCAUUUACAAGUUUGAGAUGGAGCAAGAUGCAGACCGUGAAAAGGGGUUUCUGUUUACCCAAGAGAACCAUGGGUUACAUUCAGUGGUUUACCGUGUUGCACAGUCCUGUACCAUACAUUCAAAUGGAUGCUCCACAAUUAUUGGCCAAAGUUAUAAAUGUUUUUAUUUGUUUCCUCUAGGUACAAACUAUCAGUGAACAAGACAUUACAGAACAAGUGGGUGAUUGUUUAUGCUGAUGAACAGACAUGGCACCCAUGACAGCUGCUUCACAGAAACGUUCGUUUCCCUGAAUGGAGGGACACCUGCCUCAGACGUCAUUUCCUACCCAUGUUUGUGGGUGGACUGAGAUAACAUGACGGCAGGUUUUGACUAGGUUCUCACUUCCUUGUAGUCUGUCUCCGCGUUGUAGAAUCUCUGAGAGAAGCUGUGAACGGCAAUGGGUGGAACUAGAGGAUGGGCAGGGAACGUGGUAGAACUCGUAAGAAAACUUGCUAGCAGCACCUGUUCUGUUGGCUUCUGAUGAACAUGCCAUUCCUUCAUUCCCACAGCAUUUGGAAUACUCUCCCCUAGAGUCUUUCCAUAGGGGUCCAUGGCUCUGAUAUUAAGAUUUCUUAAUAUAUGCCGUCUUCGCCAACACAGGCAUACACAACGCCGUAUAAAGUUACACCACAUUGGUUUUUUGGCAGCUACAUUACAAAUCUACAUUAACUUUACUUUGUAUUCUUAGAGUUUAAAAAUCAUUUAUUUUUAAAACAGAAACAGAGUCACAGCUGAAGAAAGCAAACAUUGUUACAGGGUGGGGGGUGGGGAGAAGGAGAGGGAUAAAUCAGGAGAUUGGGAUUGACACAUACACACGACUAUAUAUAAAAUAGAUAGCCAGCAAGGACCUACAGUAGAGCACAGGGAAGUCUACUCAACAUUCUGUAAUGACCUAUAUGGGAAUCUAAAAAAGAGUGGAUAUACGUAUAUGUAUAACUGAAUCACUUUGCUGCACACCUGAAACUAACACAAUGUUGUAAAUCAACUAUACUUCAAAAAAAUCAAUUUUUUUUAAAAAGAAAAAAAAGUCAUUUGUUUUUAGUCAUUAGUAUUUUCUUCUAGCUUAAUGUUCCCCUACAUUUUUCACAGAUUUUCUUAUUGUCGACAUAUUCUGGGACCAAAAGACAGGGAUGUGGAGAGAGAAGAGAGUGCUGACUCUCUCUGCUCUCACCACUGCGGCAGCACAGCCCACCAACCCACGCGCAUCAUCCACCAGGCACUCUUCAUGUUUAUUUCUGAUACAGCGUUCGACCUUUCUCAAGAGUCCUGUUAAAGUUUGUGUCAGGUUACAUGCUUUCAGGUUUCUCCACUUCCAUAUAUCCAUCAACUUCUUCCACUAACUUGAUGGAAGGCUCAGCCUUCUUUUUUUUCCCAAACUGAGUCUCCCUGUGUGCUUUUCCUCCAUGACCAGGUCAGUUUGCACACAGGCUUUAGAAACAUAAAACUAAUUGUGUGUCAUUCACCUGACAAUGUUCUUUAUAAAGCAAAUCGACGUGAACAUUUUAAAUACUUUAAACAUAACAAUUUAUUCAAAGUUAAUGAGACUCACUGGCAGUCAUUUUACUCAAUCAGCAAAUAUCCAUGGAGCACCUACUACGUGCCCAACCUAUGCUGCAUGGUAGUUAUUCAAGAGUGACAAGAAAUUGUUUCUGCCCUCAAGAAGUUUGAUCUAAGUGUCCUUAGGAAAUGUGAGUUCUAAAAUCAGAAUUAAAGUGAACAUUGAAUAAAGUGAAAAAAAAUUAUCCUUUAAGCAUGUGAAUCUCUUCAAGAACGGUCAUGUGCUCCCACUCCCAAAGGUCUGAUGCUACUCAGAGAACAAUUCCCCUCUCCUGCUAUCCCCAGGAGCUAUCCCCAGCGAGAGGCAGCAAAAGCUCCUCCACUGCUAAAAUUAUUUCCCUCUUUUUUUCUGAACAAAAUAUUAAAGUCUAAAUUAAAUUUGGCUGUAUUUCAACAUCAUAAUAAAGAUUAAACUCCUGAGUAUGAAAUGUACAGUAUGGGUAAUAUGGUCAAUAACUAUGUGAUAUCUUUUUAUGGUGACUUAUUGAAACUAGACUCAUCAUGGGGAUCAGUUUCAGGUGUAUAGAAAUAUCGCCUCACCAUGUUGUGUAACAGAAACUAACAAAAGGUUGUAGGUCAAUUACAUUUCAAAAAGAAACACAUCCAGGGGGGUGGGGUAGGGUGAAUUGGGACAUUGGGAUUGCCAUGUAUACAUUACUAAUAAGAAAAAAAUACCAAAUUGUACUCCUUAGAUAUAUGCAGUUUAUUGUAUGUCAAUUAUAUCUCAAUGAAAAUUCUUAAACACACACACACACACACAUCCAUAGAAAAAGAGAUCAGAUUUGUGGCUACCAGAGGCGGGGGUGGGGGGUGGGGGUACUGGAUAAACACAGUCAAAAGGCACAAACUUCCAGUUAUAGGAUACAGAAGUGCUAGGGAUGUAAUGUACAACACGAUGAAAUAUAAUUAACACUGAUGCAUGAUAUAUGUAAAAGUUGUUAAGAGAGCAAAUUCUUAGCGUUCUUAACCCAUUUUUUUCUAUUUCUUUAAUUUUGUGCCUAUAUGAGAUGAUAGAUGGUCACUAAAGUUAUUGUGAUAAUCACUUCAUGAUGAAGGUAAAUCAAAUCAUUUUGCUGUACACCUUAAAUGUAUACAGUACUGUAUGUCAAUUACAUCUCAAUAAAACC